AAUUCUGAUUAAGAUUUCUGCUAUUCCUUCAACAAAGUCUGUGGCUGUGAAAAAUACAAGCUUUAUAACAAGAGUACACCCCUUUAACAGCGAGUUCAUUGUGCCAAAACAGCUUUAUACCAAAAAGCUUAUAUAUUUGUUCUAAAACAUCCUAGUCACUGUUUUGAAAGGCAUUUAUCACAAAAACUUACUGAGAGUCCAGAAGAAUUGACAGAUUUUUUACUCAUGUCACUAUAUGGUUAUGUGUAAUGUAGAAUCAAGGAGAAAUAUACAAUACUAUCUUUAAAUCUACUCCAGUGGUUUUAGAUAUUAG